UGGGGAAUAUUGGACAAUGGGGGGUACCCUGAUCCAGCCAUGCCGCGUGUGUGAAGAAGGCCUUAUGGUUGUAAAGCACUUUAAGCGAGGAGGAGGCUCUCUUGGUUAAUACCCAAGAAGAGUGGACGUUACUCGCAGAAUAAGCACCGGCUAACUCUGUGCCAGCAGCCGCGGUAAUACAGAGGGUGCGAGCGUUAAUCGGAUUUACUGGGCGUAAAGCGUGCGUAGGCGGCUUUUUAAGUCGGAUGUGAAAUCCCCGAGCUUAACUUGGGAAUUGCAUUCGAUACUGGGAAGCUAGAGUAUGGGAGAGGAUGGUAGAAUUCCAGGUGUAGCGGUGAAAUGCGUAGAGAUCUGGAGGAAUACCGAUGGCGAAGGCAGCCAUCUGGCCUAAUACUGACGCUGAGGUACGAAAGCAUGGGGAGCAAACAGG
rnacentral:rRNA from 1 species